UUGUAAUUCCGGUACGCUCGGGCUCUUGUUGCAUAAGUAGCGGAGCCUCGUGUUGGUCCCGAGCACCUGUGCCUUUUUUUGUGUGUGUAUAUGUACCGUGUGCGUUCACGCAGGAUAACCACACAUGUAACCAUCAACAAACAUCGUCAAAUAUCACCUGUUCCCUCCUCUUCAAUAAACAUCUACCUUUUGUAUCAGUGGAGUUUCCUGCCUUCUGACCGAGGACGACUCAGUUGAGUAUGAAUCAGUAAUCAGUGCAUUCUGGACGCACACAGUACCUCACAGUAAUAUAACAUUUGAAGUAACGUUGCUUGAGUAAAAUUUUUGGCUACUCUCAUACACUUUAAAAUAAAUGACACAAUAAGUUGGUGUUAUACAGAUUUUAUUAAAAGAAUCAGUAGGUUUUCUCUUAGACUGUUUCACCAUCUUUAUAGAGACAUUCAGCACGACACUUCUGAUGAAAAUCACAGGAAGCAGAACUUCAUGUGGGCUGUGAACUAAGUUGCGUCAUGUUUAGAAACUUUUACUUGUUUUGGUUUUGGUGACUCUUCCCACUGUGAGUAAGUCUACAAGUCACAAAAGCUUUAUGUGACAAUAUGACAUGAUUUGAACAUUUGUGUUUCUUGCAGCUCCUUCAGUUAUGAUUUAGUUUGUGUAAAUAUCAGCCAGUCCAGUAGAUGGCGCCCUAACCUUACCUGUUCAACCACACCCCUCCAGAAGUAAAUAGCUGCAGAACUUGUCAGCUUGAGACAUGUGUCAUACCACCAUCAAAUUUUGUUUAAUACUUGCAGCCCUCAGACAGCGGAGCGAGUUUUCACUGUGCUGUUUGAUGUUGCUGAAAUCUGUAAAAUAUUCGCACCAGUCGAAGCUCUCUGUGUUUUAUUGAAUCUGAGGGACUGCUACAGUUUGUCAAAUUUUUGCGUCUAUCUUUAAUUAGAUUCACUUAAAUUUUAAAUCAAUGUUACAUCCUGAAAGUUACUCAUUAAGUUACUCUUGAGUAAUACUCUUCCCAAAUACUUUACUUUUACUUGAGUAAAACCCUAACCCUAAAAUGCAUUUUGUAACAUGUUCAGAGUACUAUAUUCUGAACACUUAGAAUACUUUCACAUAGAGUUACAUUAUAUUAAAGUGUAAAAAGAUGACAGGGUUGCAAUUAUUUAUCACUAAUUACCGGUUUGUAAAAGCCUGAUCCUGUCUGAUCUCAAAAGCGCAAGGCAGUGCCUAGUUAAUACUUGGAUGGGAGACCUCAGGGAAAAUCAUGUGCCAUAGGGGGGCGCCAAUCACAAAACUGUCGUUGUCUUAGGCAAGACACUUCACCCACAUUGCCUAGUAUGAAAGUGGUGUGUGUGUGUGUGAUGGUGGUGGUUGGAGGGACCUGUGGCGCUGAUUGGCUGGCAGCCGUGCUUCUGUCAGUCUGCCCCAGGGCAGCUGUGGCUACAAUAGUAGCUUACCACCACCGGGUAUGGAGUGAAUGAAAUAAUGCUCUGUAAAGCGUUUUGUGACAUAUGUCUUUGAAACGAGCCAUGUAAAUAAAAACAUACUAAUUGGAGAAUA